UUCAAAACUAUCUCAGAAACAUGACAAGACGGGCGGUGGACAUUAAUGCGGUAAGAUAUUACUAAUCUUGACUACAAGGUUCUUCCAAUAAAUGUCCUUAGACGGUUUAUGUUGGCAAUAAAUGUUCCUAGAUGGCUAUAUAAGUCGCAUCACGUAUACCUAGCCGAACACAUGAACAAGAGCACAGAAAAACAAACAAAUGGAUGGGAAAACUAUGAGUUGUUUUUUCAUUUUGCUUUUGCUUCUAGGAAAUUACACUCAAACUGAUGCUUACCUUUUCAUAGAGAACUGCCAAAGCCAUCUUAUUGGAGACUUGACAUGCACGAAGUGGUCAUGCUGGGGGGACUGUAUAAAAUAUUAUUUUGGAAAGAAAAUUAAGCAAUAUUAUUGCGUACGCAAGUCCAUGGCUCGCUAUUGCGUAUGUGUCAUAUGUGACUAGAAAUACAAUAUGGUUAUCGAUGCAUAUACCAUCAAGUGUCUGGAAUAAAAUGUAUAUAAGUAAUAAAGUUCAUAAUAUAUGUUUAUCAAAUGUCAUAUUAA